rnacentral:rRNA from 1 species
UACGAAGGGGGCUAGCGUUGCUCGGAUUCAUUGGGCGUAAAGGGUGCGUAGGCGGCGCGGUAAGUCGGGUGUGAAAUCUCGGAGCUUAACUCCGAAACUGCAUUCGAUACUGCCGUGCUUGAGGACUGGAGAGGAGACUGGAAUUUACGGUGUAGCGGUGAAAUGCGUAGAUAUCGUAAGGAAGACCAGUGGCGAAGGCGGGUUGCUGGGCUGAUACUGACGCUGAGGCGCGAAAGCCAGGGGAGCGAACGGG